GAAAUGCGAUAAGUAAUGUGAAUUGAAGAAUUCAGUGAAUCAUCGAAUCUUUGAACGCACAUUGCGCCCUCUGGUAUUCCGGGGGGCAUGCCUGUUCGAGCGUCAUUACACCACUCAAGCUCAGCUUGGUAUUGAGGGCCGCCCCGGUGGGGCGCCCCCGAAAAACAGCGGCGGUGCGGCCGACCCUGAGCGUAGCAAAACCCUCGCUCGGGACCCCGGUCUGCGGUCGCCCCGAUCCAAACUCACAAGGUUGGCCUCGGAUCAGGUGUGAUUACCCGCUGAACUUAA
rnacentral:misc_RNA from 1 species